rnacentral:lncRNA from 1 species
UUUAAUGCAAUGUGUGAAAAAGGGCUUCAAAUUAUACAGUUUUAGGUGUACUGCUUCAAUAUACAGGUUGUCUAAAAUAAAUAAAAAAAUAUAGCGUUUUUUUAAAAAAUAAAAAUAAAUAACCACCCACUUUAGAGGGCGUUUUCCAAAAUAAGCGCCCUCUAAACCCUUUAAAUUUCCACUUUAGAGGGCGCUUUCCAGUAAA